rnacentral:rRNA from 1 species
AUUGAACGCUGGCGGCAUGCCUUACACAUGCAAGUCGAACGGCAGCACGGGAGCAAUCCUGGUGGCGAGUGGCGAACGGGUGAGUAAUAUAUCGGAACGUGCCCAGUAGUGGGGGAUAACUGCUCGAAAGAGCAGCUAAUACCGCAUACGACCUAAGGGUGAAAGGGGGGGAUCGCAAGACCUCUCGCUAUUGGAGCGGCCGAUAUCAGAUUAGCUAGUUGGUGGGGUAAAGGCCUACCAAGGCAACGAUCUGUAGUUGGUCUGAGAGGACGAGCAGCCACACUGGGACUGGGACACGGCCCAGACUCCUACGGGAGGCAGCAGUGGGGAAUUUUGGACGAUGGGGGCGAGCCUGAUCCAGCAAUGCCGCGUGCAGGAAGAAGGCCUUCGGGUUGUAAACUGCUUUUGUCAGGGAAGAAAUCCUCUAGGUUAAUACCCUUGGGGGGAUGACGGUACCUGAAGAAUAAGCACCGGCUAACUACGUGCCAGCAGCCGCCGUAACAC